rnacentral:rRNA from 1 species
GGUGCUGGAAGGUUAAUUGAUGGGGUCAGCCGUAAGGCGAAGCUCCUGAUCGAAGCCCCAGUAAACGGCGGCCGUAACUAUAACGGUCCUAAGGUAGCGAAAUUCCUUGUCGGGUAAGUUCCGACCUGCACGAAUGGCGUAAUGAUGGCCAGGCUGUCUCCACCCGAGACUCAGUGAAAUUGAACUCGCUGUGAAGAUGCAGUGUACCCGCGGCAAGACGGAAAGACCCCGUGAACCUUUACUAUAGCUUGACACUGAACAUUGAGCCUUGAUGUGUAGGAUAGGUGGGAGGCUUUGAAGUGUGGACGCCAGUCUGCAUGGAGCCAACCUUGAAAUACCACCCUUUAACGUUUGAUGUUCUAACCUAGGCCCAUAAACUGGGUCGGGGACCGUGUCUGGUGGGUAGUUUGACUGGGGCGGUCUCCUCCUAAAGAGUAACGGAGGAGCACGAAGGUUGGCUAAGCAUGGUCGGACAUCAUGCGGUUAGUGCAAAGGCAUAAGCCAGCUUGACUGCGAGAGUGACGGCUCGAGCAGGUACGAAAGUAGGUCUUAGUGAUCCGGUGGUUCUGAAUGGAAGGGCCAUCGCUCAACGGAUAAAAGGUACUCCGGGGAUAACAGGCUGAUACCGCCCAAGAGUUCAUAUCGACGGCGGUGUUUGGCACCUCGAUGUCGGCUCAUCACAUCCUGGGGCUGAAGUAGGUCCCAAGGGUAUGGCUGUUCGCCAUUUAAAGUGGUACGCGAGCUGGGUUUAGAACGUCGUGAGACAGUUCGGUCCCUAUCUGCCGUGGGCGUUGGAAGAUUGAGAGGGGUUGCUCCUAGUACGAGAGGACCGGAGUGAACGCACCACUGGUGUUCGGGUUGUCAUGCCAAUGGCAUUGCCCGGUAGCUAAGUGCGGAAGAGAUAACCGCUGAAAGCAUCUAAGCGGGAAACUUGCC